rnacentral:misc_RNA from 1 species
GAUGAAGAACGCAGCGAAAUGCGAUACGUAAUGUGAAUUGCAGAAUUCAGUGAAUCAUCGAAUCUUUGAACGCAUAUUGCGCUCUCUGGUAUUCCGGAGAGCAUGCUUGUUUUAGUAUCAGUAAACACCUCAACUUCCAUAUCUUUUUUGAAAUGGGAUUUGGACUUGAGUGAUCCCAACGCUUUUCCUCACCGAAAAGUGGCGGGUUACUUGAAAUGCAGGUGCAGCUGGACUUUUCUCUGAGCUAUAAGCAUAUCUAUUUAGUCUGCCUAAAAAACAGAUUAUUACCUUUGCUGCAGCUAACAUAAAGGAGAUUAGUUCUUGUGCUGACUGAUGCAGGAUUCACAAAGACAGGCUUCGGCCGACUUUGUAAACUCGAUCUCAAAUCAAGUAAGACUACCCGCUGAACUUAAGCAUAUCAAUAAGCGGAGGA